rnacentral:rRNA from 1 species
GACGAACGCUGGCGGCGUGCUUAACACAUGCAAGUCGAACGGAAAGGCCCUGCUUUUGUGGGGUGCUCGAGUGGCGAACGGGUGAGUAACACGUGAGUAACCUGCCCUUGACUUUGGGAUAACUUCAGGCAACUGGGGCUAAUACCGGAUAGGAGCUCCUGCUGCAUGGUGGUGUUUGGAAAGUUUCGGCGGUUGGGGAUGGACUCGCGGGUUAUCAGCUUGUUGGUGGGGUAGUGGCUUACCAAGGCUUUGACGGGUAGCCGGCCUGAGAGGGUGAACGGCCACAUUGGGACUGAGAUACGGACCAGACGCGAACGGGAGGCAGCAGGGGGGAAUAUGGCACAAUGGGCGGAAGCCUGAUGCAGAAACGCCGCGUGCGGGAUGACGGCCUUCGGGGUGUAAACCGCUUUCGCCUGUGACGAAGCGUGAGUGACGGUAAUGGGUAAAGAAGCACCGGCUAACUACGUG